UGGGGAAUUUUGGACAAUGGGCGAAAGCCUGAUCCAGCAAUGCCGCGUGUGUGAAGAAGGCCUUCGGGUUGUAAAGCACUUUUGUCCGGAAAGAAAUCCUUGGCUCUAAUACAGUCGGGGGAUGACGGUACCGGAAGAAUAAGCACCGGCUAACUACGUGCCAGCAGCCGCGGUAAUACGUAGGGUGCAAGCGUUAAUCGGAAUUACUGGGCGUAAAGCGUGCGCAGGCGGUUUGCUAGACCGAUGUGAAAUCCCCGGGCUCAACCUGGGAACUGCGUUGGUGACUGGCAGGCUAGAGUAUGGCAGAGGGGGGUAGAAUUCCACGUGUAGCAGUGAAAUGCGUAGAGAUGUGGAGGAAUACCGAUGGCGAAGGCAGCCCCCUGGGCCAAUACUGACGCUCAUGCACGAAAGCGUGGGGAGCAAACAGGAUUAGAUACCCUGGUAGUCCACGCCCUAAACGAUGUCAACUAGUUGUUGGGGAUUCAUUUCCUUAGUAACGUAGCUAACGCGUGAAGUUGACCGCCUGGGGAGUACGGUCGCAAGAUUAAAACUCAAAUGAAUUGACGGGGUCAUAGCUGUUUCCU
rnacentral:rRNA from 1 species